GAAGGUAUAGCUCAGUGGUGGAGUGCAUGCCUAGCAUGCACAAGGCCCUGGAUUCAAUUCCCAGUACCUCUG
rnacentral:tRNA from 1 species